rnacentral:rRNA from 1 species
UGCAUAUUCAUGAACCAUAAUCAAAAGAUUUUAAUUAAUCUAUUUACCUUCAAAUCCAAUUUCCAUAAGCUAAUUUCAAGUCUUCUUCCAUUAAUAACUUAACUGUAAUACAUUUUGCCUAAUAAAACCUGCAUCUUGACCUGACUUAUCUUUUUUUAAAAAUUACAAAAUAAAUUUACAAAAAAUUUUUUAAGACGGAGAUAUACAAAGUAAUUUUAUUAGUAAGAUUUUCGGGGAUUAUCGAAUUACCAAAACAUAUUCCUCUGAAUUGAAUAAAUACCGCCAAAUCUUUUAAGUUUCCUGAUCAUAUCAUUUACUACUCAAAACACUUUUUUCAUUAACAAA